AAGAAUUAUUGUGUGAUUCUAACGAAUCAUUCAUGUCUGCGUUGGAAAAGACCAGACCAGACCAGACCGGUCCAGACCAGACCGGUCCAGACCAGACCGGUCCAGACCAGACCAGUCCAGACCAGACCGGUCCAGACCAGACCAGACCGGUCCAGACCAGACCAGACCAGUCCAGACCAGACCACUGUGGCAGAAUCAUGUUAUCUAUCACUGAUCCUACUGGUCCUCUUCACCAUCAAAGCGCCAACCUGAUCAAAGUGGUUCUGAGUGAGCACAGUUUCUCCAGGGUGGGGGGCUUUGGCACGGAAUUCAAUGUUUCCAAGGUGCUGCUCCACUACAUGUACAUUUACAUGACCUGCGACAACGACAUCAUGCUGCUAAACAUGUGUAUGUGACCAAUAACAUCUGCUAAACAUGCGCAUGUGACCAAUAACAUCUGCUAAACAUGCGCAUGUGACCAAUAACAUCUGCUAAACAUGCGCAUGUGACCAAUAACAUCUGCUAAACAUGUGCAUGUGACCAAUAACAUCUGCUAAACAUGCGCAUGUGACCAAUAACAUCUGCUAACCAUGUGUAUGUGACCAAUAACAUCUGCUAACCAUGUGUAUGUGACCAAUAACAUCUGCUAAACAUGCGCAUGUGACCAAUAACAUCUGCUAACCAUGUGUAUGUGACCAAUAACAUCUGCUAACCAUGUGUAUGUGACCAAUAACAUCUGCUAAACAUGCGCAUGUGACCAAUAACAUCUGCUAACCAUGUGUAUGUGACCAAUAACAUCUGCUAACCAUGUGUAUGUGACCAAUAACAUCUGCUAACCAUGUGUAUGUGACCAAUAACAUCUGCUAACCAUGUGUAUGUGACCAAUAACAUCUGCUAAACAUGCGCAUGUGACCAAUAACAUCUGCUAACCAUGUGUAUGUGAACAAUAACAUCUGCUAAAUAUGUGCAUGUGACCAAUAACAUCUGCUAAACACAUGCAUGUGACCAAUAACAUGUGAUUUGAUUUGAGAGAAGGAAACUGCCAGUACUGGUACUUCAGGAUCACUGACAACAUGCUCUAUGCCGGCUCUAGCUUCAGCUGAGAGAAGAAGAGAUCAUUACAGGCUCUGUUUUAGAGUCCACAACUAGCGUACUACUCAGAAUGAAGGAAUGCAUUGGGCAUGCAUUCUAGGUAGAACGUUAGUAUGGAUAUUGAAAUGUAGCCUGUGUCUGUCAGACUGUCAGUCUUGUGAUCUAUGUUAUGAGUAUGCCAUGUACUGUAUAUCUAUGUAUGCCAAGAAAAUUUGUCUUUGGGAUAUUCAAAUAUUCAAUUGACUUUAAUUCUAUCAGGGUGAUUCUCAUGAAUCCCCCUCAUCUGUAACGGGCACUCUUGGUCAUCAGCUGUGCCAAACCUCUACUUCCCUGGAGUCUACACCAAGAUCAGGAAAUACCUUAGCUGGAUCGACUGCAUCAUCCAGAAAGACAGCUAGCGACGCCAUCUUGUUUUUGGUCCUCUCCUUUCUGAAGAUCCAAAUGGGAUCAACUGAUAAAGUAUCAGUAUAGGACACAGAGACUGAACUACCUGCUGUAAAUAAUUACCACCUGUUUUUUGUUUUUUUACAACAAUACAUUUAUGUCUAUUUUCUCUCCUACGGCUACUGAUGACUGUAUAGGUACAAUACCUGUAUAAUAGCGAUAGGUAUUGUCUUGUUACUAAUAGUGCUAUCAGCUGACAAACUGAAGUAGAGAUGUGAUCGACCUACAGGCCAUGUAAUCAUUUGUUGAAUAAGGAAAGCGUGUGCGUGACCAACAUGAAAGGGACUCGUUGUGUUUGUACCCCUUACAUCCACUGAGAAACAUCAGGAAAAUAGGCACAGGUUGGUUUAUUUAGAUCAGUCACCAAAUAGAAAUCAUGUUUAAGACACAAUAAAUCUUCUGUGUUGGCUCUGUCAGGUGACAUAUUUCCCUCUAUAUCAUAUUUUGAUUAAUACAGUGCCAUGGAAAAGUAUUCAGACCCCUUGACUUUUUCCACAUUUUGUUAGGUUACUGCCUUAUUCUAAAAUGGUUAUUUCCCCUCAUUAAUCUACACACAAUACCCCAUAAUGACAAAGCAAAAACAUGUUUUCAGAAAUUUGUACUAAUUUAUUAAAAGUAUUAAAAAAAAUGAAAUAUAAUAUUUACAUUAGUAUUCAGAUCCUUUACUCAGUACUUUGUUGAAGCAUCUUUGGCAGCGAUUACAGCCAGGAGUCUUCUUGGGUAUGACGCUACAAGCUUGGCACACCUGUAUUUGGGAAGUUUUUCCCAUUGUUCUCUCCAGAUCCUCUCAAGCUCUGUCAGGUUGGCUGGGGAGCGUUGCUGACAAGCUAUUUUCAGAUCUCUUCAGAGAUGUUCGAUCGGGUUCAAGUCUGGGCUCUGCCUGGGCCAUUCAAGGACAUUCAGAGACUUGUCCCGAAUCCACUCCUGCGUUGUCUUGGCUGUGUACUUAGGGUUGUUGUCCUGUUGGAAGGUGAACCUUCACCCCAGUCUGAGGUCCUGAGCGCUUUGGAGCAGGUUUUUAUCAAGGAUCUCUCAGUACUUUGCUCCGUUCAUCUUUCCCUCGAUCCUGACUAGUCUCCCAGACCCUGCUGCUAAAAAACAUCCCCACAGCAUGAUGCUGCCACCACCAUGCUUCACCGUAGGGAUGGUGCCAGGUUUCCUCCAGACGUGACGCUUGGCAUUCAGGCCAAAGAGUUCAAUCUUGAUUUCAUCAGACAAUAGAAUGUUUUGGCAAACUCCAAGCUGGCAGUCAUGUGCCUUUUACUGAAGAGUGGCUUCUGUCUGGCCACUCCACCAUAAAGGCCUGAUUGUGGAGUGCUGCAGAGAUGGUUGUCCUUCUGGAAGGUUCUCUAGAGGAACUCUAGAGCUCUGUCAGAGUGACCAUCGGGUUCUUGGUGACCUCCCUGACCAUGGCCCUUCUCCCCCAAUUGCUCAGUUGAGCUGGGCGGUCAGCUCUAGAAAGAGUCUUGGUGGUUCCAAACUUCAACCAUUUCAGAAUGAUGGAGGCCACUGUGUUCUUUGGGAUCUUCAAUACUGCAGGCAUUUUUGGUACCCUUCCCCAGAUCUGUGCCUCGACACAAUCCUGUCUACAGACAAUUCCUUAGACCUCAUGGCUUGGAUUUUGCUCUGACAUGCACUGUCAAUUGUGGGACCUCAUAUAGACAGGUGUGUGCCUUUCCAAAUCAUGUCCAAUCAAUUGAAUUUACCACAGGUAGAAUCCAAUCAAGUUGUAGAGACAUCUCAAGGACGAUCAAUGGAAACAGGAUGCACCUGAGCUCAAUUUCGAGUUUCAUAGCAAAGGGUCUGAAUGCAGAAAUAAGGUAUUUCUGUUUUUAUUUAUAAUACAUUAGGAAAAAUGUCCAAUAACCUGUUUUCGCUUUGUCAUUAUGGGGAAUUGUGAUGUCAUUAUGGGGUAUUGAGAUGUCAUUAUGGAGUAUUGUGAGGUCAUUAUGUAACGUAACAAAAUGUGGAAAAAGUCAAGGGGUCUGAAUACUUUUCCAAGGCACUGUAUGUGACUUAGUACGUCUUAGAAAACACUUUAAACAUCCUGUUAAUUUCAUCUGUUGAGAGAUAACAGACACUGAUGCAUCAUCUGCAUGUUUCUAAGGGAGUUUCCCAUGUCUCUACUAUGGGACAGUAAAACAAUAAAGAUUCAUAUUUUUACCAAGCUGUUCCAUUACUAAUCAGUAGCUACUCAUCAACAAAACAAAAGAUAUUUUUAUCAGCAC
rnacentral:lncRNA from 1 species